UACGUAGGGUGCGAGCGUUAAUCGGAAUUACUGGGCGUAAAGCGUGCGCAGGCGGUUUUGUAAGUCUGUCGUGAAAGCCCCGGGCUCAACCUGGGAAUUGCGAUGGAGACUGCAAGGCUUGAAUCUGGCAGAGGGGGGUAGAAAUUCCACGUGUAGCAGGUGAAAUGCGUAGAGAUGUGGAGGAACACCGAUGGCGAAGGCAGCCCCCUGGGUCAAGAUUGACGCUCAUGCACGAAAGCGUGGGGAGCAAACAGG
rnacentral:rRNA from 1 species